AUAGGUGAUGAUCAUGCACUGGGCUCUGAGCAGCUCAAUAGAGCUGCUUUUUGAUGGACAAUGCCGCCUAGAAAGCUGUAUCUGAUAU